rnacentral:rRNA from 1 species
CAGCCGCCACGGUAAUACGAAGGGUGCAAGCGUUAAUCGGAAUUACUGGGCGUAAAGCGUGCGUAGGCGGUGAGUUAAGUCUGCUGUGAAAUCCCCGGGCUCAACCUGGGAAUGGCAGUGGAUACUGGCUCGCUAGAGUGUGUCAGAGGAUGGUGGAAUUCCCGGUGUAGCGGUGAAAUGCGUAGAGAUCUGGAGGAAUACCGAUGGCGAAGGCAGCCAUCUGGCCUAAUACUGACGCUGAGGUACGAAAGCAUGGGGAGCAAACAGGAUUAGAUACCCCUGUAGUCCCUGUCUCUUAUAC